rnacentral:lncRNA from 1 species
GGAUGGCUCCAGCUCCACCCACCCCACGUCCAACCCUGCUCCUCAAACCCCCUGAGAUGCCUCCAAACCCCAUCCCAGAGUUCUUCAGAGCUGUUUUUCCACCAUAAUCCCAGGUUUUUUUCCUGGAUCAACACUCGACAUCCACCAGGAGCCUCCCAAUCCAUGAAAAUCCAGGAUGGCUCCAUCUCCACCCCUGUUCCUCAAAGCCCUUGAGAUGCCUCCAAACCCAAAUCCAAACUUCAUUUGGAGCCGUUUUUCCACCGUAAUCCCAGUUUUUUUUCCUGGAUCAGCAUCUGGCAUCCACCAGGAGCCUUCCAACCUACAAGAGGCUCCACCUCCACCCUCCCCACGUCCAUCCCUGCUCCUCAAAGCCCUUGAGAUGCCUCCAAACCCCAUCCCAGCUCCGUCGGGAGCCGUUUUUCCACCAUAUUCCCAGGUUUUUUUCCUGGAUCAGUGCCCAGCACCCACCAGGAGCCUCCCAAUCCAUGAAAAUCCAGGACGGCUCCAUCUCCACCCACCCCACGUCCAUCCCUGCUCCUCAAACCCCUUGAGAUGCCUCCAAACCCAUCCCAGCUCCGUUGGGAGCCGUUUUUCCACCAUAAUCCCAAUUUUUUUUCCUGGAUCAACAUCCGGCAUCCACCAGGAGCCUCCUAAACCAUGAACAUCCGGGAUGGCUCCAGCUCCACCCACCCCACGUCCAACCUGUUCCUCAAACCCCUUGAGAUGUCUCCAAACCCAAUCCCAGCUCCAUUCUGGAGAUGUUUUUCUGCUGUAAUCCCAAUUUUUUUCCUGGAUCAUCCACCAGGAGCCUCCCAAUCCAUGAAAAUCCAGGACGGCUCCAUCUCCACCCACCCCACGUCCAUCCCUGUUCCCCAAACCCCUUGAGAUGCCUCCAAACCCAAAUCCAAACUCCAUCCAGAGCCGUUUUUCCACCAUAAUCC